rnacentral:rRNA from 1 species
GACGUAGGGGGCCAGCGUUGCUCGGAAUUACUGGGUGUAAAGGGUUCGUAGGCGGUGCGGCAAGUUGGGAGUGAAAUCUCUGGGCUCAACCCAGAGGCUGCUUCCAAAACUGCUGUGCUUGAGUGUGGGAGAGGCGCGUGGAAUUGCAGGUGUAGCGGUGAAAUGCGUAGAUAUGGUAUAGAACACCGAUUGCGAAGGCAGCUAACUAAGCGAUGAUUGACGCUGAGGCACGAAAGCGUGGGGAUCAAACAGG